rnacentral:rRNA from 1 species
UAUGUAGAUGCUUACAGUAUAAUGUUUAUGGACCAGAUCCCAUUAGAACUUUGUAGUUAAGCGUUCUUGGGAUAGAGUAGUACUGGGAUGGGUGACUGCAUGGGAAGUUCUAGUGCUUUACAUGC